CGUGCAGUGGCUGCGACCAUCCUGUAGCUGGGUUGGCCGAAUGAGCAUUGGGGUGAUGCUGGGGUCAUGGUCCUCCCAGUGUGGCCAAGGGCAGAGCACUGGGUGGAGGGCUUUGGGCAGGGUCGGCAGGGGAAGUAAUCCCCGGGGCAGUGGGCAAGACAGAUAGGGAGAGCCGAAACCGGACCUGCUGAUGUGGCCCUUUCUGCUCGCAGCGGAUCAUAAAAUAUGGCUCAGAUUUUCAUUACGGGCUCUAUCGAUUAUCUUCUGGGACGGAUGAAUUAUAGAGAACAUUAAAUUUUUUUUAAAAAGCAAGUGAGAGAGGAAAUAUCUGAAUGAGUUUGGGUGGUCGAUGGCAGAAAGGGCUGAGCCACCAAACCUGGUCUUGGAACAGUGAGGACAGAACCUCCCAGGGCCAGCAGCCUCUGGCUGUGGCUCUGGGCCUCCAGGCCUCCCUGUCUGGCUCUGCAAUUGGGGAGGCCUGUGCUCCCCUAUACUCUCCUUACUGUGCUCUGGCCCCUCCAGGGACCUGCCUGGCUCUGGGAAGGUGGAAAAUCGGGCUGUUUACAAGGUUCUGACCUAAACCUUUCCCAGGCUUUGAGGCUCCAUUUCUGGGAGCUGGGCCCCCAAAUCCUACUGUUUUCCCUCCAAGGACAACCUAAUCUGGAGGUGCUGCCUGGGCGGAGGGAAGGUUCGGAAGGCAGCAUUGGUCUCCAAGGGUCAGGACCUGGGUAGGAACGCCUGAGCCCCUUAGCCACCUCAUCCUUUCCCAGCUCCUUGUUUCUCCCAUCUGCAGUCACGUCACGGAGGAUUUCUAGUUUCCUUCGUCACCUUGGGAAGAGCAAGUUGGGGUUCACCGCUGUGCACCCAGUUGGAAAGAGCCCCCCAAAAGCCCACCCUCCUGCCUCGCUCUAUACCCCUCUUACUUCUCCUCCCCUUGCCAGGCAGUGUGGCAAUUAGGUGUCAGAAGGUUCUGAGUUCAAAUCACUUCCCAGCGUGUGACCUUGGGUGGGACGUGUCCCUCUCUGAGUCUUUGUUUCUCAACUCUCCAGUUGAGAUAAUCAUCUACCUCAUUGAGUUCUUGUGAUGAUUAUAGGUACUGAUGUAUUAAAAUCCUGAGUACACAGUGCUUAAUAAACAUGAAUGGUUAUUAUUUUCCUCCUCUCUUAUGGCAGAAUCUAGAAACCUCCCCCUACUUCAUUUAGGCUUUUUGAUUUAUUGGGUUUAUCAAAUGCUUUAUGGCACGUACGAUGUGCUAGGUACUUUUCUCAGCAUGUUACACGUAAUAAAUCAUUUAAUCCUCACGACUGUACUCAGGAGGAGCGAUCACGUCUCCAUUUUGCUGAUGGGGAAACUGAGGUGCAGACAGGCUACAGGAACUCACCCAGGGUCACCCAGCUGAGGAG
rnacentral:lncRNA from 1 species